rnacentral:rRNA from 1 species
GAUGAACGCUGGCGGCGUGCCUAAUACAUGCAAGUCGAGCGAACAGACGAGGAGCUUGCUCCUCUGACGUUAGCGGCGGACGGGUGAGUAACACGUGGAUAACCUACCUAUAAGACUGGGAUAACUUCGGGAAACCGGAGCUAAUACCGGAUAAUAUAUUGAACCGCAUGGUUCAAUAGUGAAAGACGGCUUUGCUGUCACUUAUAGAUGGAUCCGCGCCGCAUUAGCUAGUUGGUAAGGUAACGGCUUACCAAGGCGACGAUGCGUAGCCGACCUGAGAGGGUGAACGGCCACACGGGAAAUGAGACACGGGUCAGACGCCCACGGGAGGCAGAAGUGGGGAAUUUUGGACAAGGGGCGCAAGCCUGAGCCAGCCAUACCGCGUGGGUGAAGAAGGGUUUUGGGUUGGAAAGACCUUUUGUUGGGAAAGAAAAAAAGGAGGAGAAUAACAAGCAGUUCUGAAGGGACCCAAAUAAAAAGCCCCGGAUAACUUCGUG